GUACGUUUGACUAUUGUCGAUGACAACUUUUAUUACAAUAGCUGUAUAGUCCUUGCCAUAUUAGUUAUUCCGGAUCACUGAUCUGAAACUAACUGGUUGACACAUCCUUUUGAAUUGAAUGAGCUAAUUUUGAAACAGAACAUUUAUGAACUGAGAUUUUCAAACUUAUCAAAUUCUCAACAACUCGAAUUGUUAGGUAUCUAAAUAAGCUUUACUAUCAUGCAAGCAAAUGUCUUUGUUGAUAUGUAUCCGGAAAAGAAAGAUCAAGUUGCCCACAUCUUUUCUAAAAAGUUUUAAAAUGUUGUGGAAAGCAGAUAACGACACUUGAGGCGGCCAUAUUGGUGUGACCUAAUUUGUUAUUCACAGGCAAAUUUAAAGCCAAAGAGAGGCAAUUGGCGACUAAUUUUUUUCUAGUGAUUACGUUACGUUUCCCAAUAAUAAUCAGAAAUUGUAAGAAAAUCUUAAAAAAUCUUUAAAACCAAUAUGGCCGCCAUUACCUUCAGUUAUGCAUGCCAGAUGUGUUGGUUUUCAGACCAGUGUUUCAGAUAGGGAAACCAUUUAUAUUAAUAGAAAGGCACUUAUACGGAACGAUAAUCAUGAGUUUUGCUCUAAAAUUGACAUUUGAAUAAUUGGGGUUUUAAUAUGUAUUGAUGCAGUUUAUAGUUAAAUUUGUUAAGAUUAAUCUUAUUUAAUACAUCGUAGUAUUGACAUUGAACCUUAUCCUAGCCCAACGGCAAACAAGCAAAGAUGAGACGCGUUUUCUAUAUCGUAUAUAGCUUUAAAAUUAUACGUUUUCUUUGUUAUAUCUAGCGAGAGUUUGACGUUAAAUGGACGAAAUUUUGACGAGAUCGAAAACCGUCCGUUUUAAGUUAAAAGAUAAAACAGAGUUUUCAAUACCGUCUCCGCGUUUUACUGACUCGAAAAUUGGGUUUC